rnacentral:lncRNA from 1 species
CCAUGGAUAAUUAAAUGGACACAAAUCAUAAUUGAUUGUGCAUCAUGUCAUGAAUAUGUUGUGGUAUUUACGUUGUCAUUUGUUCGUUUCCGAUUGCUUCUUCUCGAUAGAUUUCUGAAACCAAUUCAGAGUGUGAGGAUUCUAUAAACUACGUUGGUCCGUCUACUUGAUGGAUUCGUUCUUUUCCAAGCGGGAUCUAACGCAAGAUGAUCAUUUCCCUGGAUACCACUACUAUCAUUUCCAUGCUAGUUGUCUCAUUCCUAGCUCUAUGUCUUGCUUCCUACCACUUGCUUGUCAAGCCUCCCAAAAUGCCAUGAU